rnacentral:rRNA from 1 species
UACGGGGGGAGCAAGCGUUGUUCGGAUUUACUGGGCGUAAAGAGCGCGCAGGCGGUCGGAUUAGUCGCGUGUGAAAGCCCCCGGCUCAACUGGGGAGGGUCACGCGAUACUGUUCGACUCGAAGGCAGGAGAGGGAAGUGGAAUUCCCGGUGUAGUGGUGAAAUGCGUAGAUAUCGGGAGGAACACCAGUGGUGAAGGCGACUUCCUGGCCUGUUCUUGACGCUGAGGCGCGAAAGCUAGGGGAGCAAACGGG